rnacentral:rRNA from 1 species
UACGUAGGGGGCUAGCGUUGUCCGGAAUCAUUGGGCGUAAAGAGCGUGUAGGCGGUUCGGUAAGUCCGCUGUGAAAGUCCAGGGCUCAACCCUGGAAUGCCAGUGGAAACUGCCGAGCUAGAGUCCGGAAGAGGCGAGUGGAAUUCCCAGUGUAGAGGUGAAAUUCGUAGAUAUUGGGAAGAACACCGGUGGCGAAGGCGGCUCACUGGCUCGUAACUGACGCGUCAUGCACGACAGCGUGGGGAUCAAACAG